ACAGACCUAAGAGCCUGGGGCUGUGUAUCCCACUGCUAUUAGAGAGGCAGGCGAGAAACCUUCAGGCUCAAGACCAUACUCUGCCUUAGUGGAUCCCGGGGGCCCAUCGCUACCAGGAUCUUCUAGGCACUGCUCAGGAUUGACUUCAAGGCCUGAACCCCUGAGGGUGCCACCCAGUCCCACAAGUCCGCAUUCCCCUGCAGCUGAGAUGGGAGAUGGGCUUGGCUCCUGGACUUGCCCCAGACAGAAAGCAUAGCACAGACCUGCCAGGGAGAGUCUUUGCCUGAUUCUAGGCCCCUUGGAGUGCAGGAGGAAGGAUGCAGAGUACCACUAACUACCUGUGGCAUACUGAUGACCUGCUAGGGCAGGGGGCCACUGCCAAUGUGUACAAGGCCCGGAAUAAGGUGACAGCAACUCUGGCCCCAGACCCUUUCAUGCCCUAGAGCUGGGCAGUAAGAGUCUAUGGAGCUGGACAGGGUCCCAGGACUCUUUCUUCCAUCCAUUCUGAUGAGAAAGGACUCCAUAAGUUUGCCCUGAGGUGUGGGAUGCUGGAAAAAAUUCCUUGGAAUGGCGCCUCUGUCCAAGACCUGUUGGGACUAGAGAACAAGAAAUCCGGGGAGGUGGUUGCUGUAAAGGUCUUCAACUCAGCCAGCUACCGGCGGCCCCCUGAGGUACAAGU
rnacentral:lncRNA from 1 species